rnacentral:rRNA from 1 species
UCCUGGCUCAGGAUGAACGCUGGCUGUGUGCCUAAUACAGUGCAUGUCGAGCGGAAGUAGCAAUACUUUAGCGGCGAAUGGGUGAGUAACACGUGCUUAAUCUACCUCUUAGAUUGGAAUACCUAAUGGAAACAUUGGUUAAUGCCGGAUACGCAUGGAGUCGCAUGACUCCGUUGUGAAAGGGGCCUUUAAAGCUCCACUAAGAGAUGAGGGUGCGGAACAUUAGCUAGUUGGUGAGGUAACGGCCCACCAAGGCUAUGAUGUUUAGCCGGGUCGAGAGACUGAACGGCCACAUUGGGACUGAGAUACGGCCCAAACUCCUACGGGAGGCAGCAGUAGGGAAUAUUCCACAAUGAGCGAAAGCUUGAUGGAGCGACACAGCGUGCACGAUGAAGGUCUUAUGGAUUGUAAAGUGCUGUUGCAAGGGAAGAAAAAGUAGUUGAGGAAAUGCUUCUACAUUGACGGUGCCUUGUUAGAAAGCGAUGGCUAACUAUGUGCCAGCAGCCGCGGUAAUACAUAGGUCGCAAGCGUUAUCCGGAAUUAUUGGGCGUAAAGCGUUCGUAGGCUGUUUAUUAAGUCUGGAGUCAAAUCCCAGGGCUCAACCCUGGCUCGCUUUGGAUACUGGUAAACUAGAGUUGGAUAGAGGUAAGCGGAAUUCCAUGUGAAGCGGUGAAAUGCGUAGAUAUAUGGAAGAACACCAAAAGGCGAAGGCAGCUUACUGGGUUUAUACUUGACGCUGAGGAACGAAAGCGUGGGGAGCAAACAGGAUUAGAUACCCUGGUAGUACACGCCGUAAACGAUGAUCAUUAGUCGGCAGAGAACUGUUGACGCAGCUAACGCAUUAAAUGAUCCGCCUGAGUAGUAUGCUCGCAAGAGUAAAACUUAAAGGAAUUGACGGGGACCCGCACAAGCGGUGGAGCAUGUGGUUUAAUUUGAAGAUACGCGGAGAACCUUACCCACUCUUGACAUCCUUCGCAAAGCUAUAGAGAUAUAGUGGAGGUUAACGGAGUGACAGAUGGUGCAUGGUUGUCGUCAGCUCGUGUCGUGAGAUGUUUGGUCAAGUCCUGCAACGAGCGCAACCCCUAUCUUUAGUUACUAACGAGUCAUGUCGAGGACUCUAGAGAUACUGCCUGGGUAACUGGGAGGAAGGUGGGGAUGACGUCAAAUCAUCAUGCCUCUUACGAGUGGGGCAACACACGUGCUACAAUGGUCGGUACAAAGAGAAGCAAUAUGGUGACAUGGAGCAAAUCUCAAAAAGCCGAUCUCAGUUCGGAUUGAAGUCUGCAAUUCGACUUCAUGAAGUCGGAAUCGCUAGUAAUCGCAGAUCAGCUAUGCUGCGGUGAAUACGUUCUCGGGUCUUGUACACACCGCCCGUCACACCAUGGGAGCUGG